AACGAACGCUGGCGGCAUGCCUAACACAUGCAAGUCGAACGAGACCUUCGGGUCUAGUGGCGCACGGGUGCGUAACGCGUGGGAACCUGCCCUUAGGUUCGGAAUAACUCCCCGAAAGGGGUGCUAAUACCGGAUAAUGUCUUCGGACCAAAGAUUUAUCGCCUUUGGAUGGGCCCGCGUUGGAUUAGCUAGUUGGUAGGGUAAAAGCCUACCAAGGCGACGAUCCAUAGCUGGUCUGAGAGGAUGAUCAGCCACACUGGGACUGAGACACGGCCCAGACUCCUACGGAAGGCAGCAGUGGGGAAUAUUGAACAAUGGGCGAAAGCCUGAUCCAGCAAGGCCGCGUGAGUGAUGAAGGCCUUAGGGUUGUAAAGCUCUUUUACCCGGGAUGAUAAUGACAGUACCGGGAGAAUAAACUCCGGCUAACUCCGU
rnacentral:rRNA from 1 species